GUAGGUUACCAUGGGAGACACUGUUGUGGAUGUUUACUAUGCUGCCUGAUCUGGAGAAGGAAGUUGGAGCUCCUGUCUCAUCUCCACAUCCUCCGUCAGUGUGAAUACGUAAGCCAUCAAGGCCUUGACAUAAAGGCUGGUCUCAUCAAAUGUAACAUUCUUAAGACAACGUAAGGCGUUAUCCAGCAUUGUAUCCUGAGAAAGGAAUUGAAAGUAAAUUUCACAAUAUAUCAACAAUCCUCAAGUAUUACAGCUACAUCUUCCCUGCAAGCCCUGCAUCAUUUUCAGUGACAAGUGUUCCCCCAAGAUUAGUCAGGAAUGACAGAUGAUCUGCUUGCUGCAAAUCAGGUCAAUGACAGUAAGAACACAUUAUCCAUGUUAAAAGGCCCUAAAAGAGUUCAGACAUGACUUACAUUUUUCUCCAAUUGGAGCUCAAGAAGGGCAGCAGCGACAUAGGCUGUUAAUGAGAUUGUAUCAUCCACACCACCCUGUAAAUCACACAGACAGACAAAAAUGAACAUUGCUUGCCUCCAAACAG